UCCGUAGGCGGUGUGGCAAGUCGGUAGUGAAAUCUCUCGGCUUAACUGAGAGGCUGCUGCCGAAACUGCCAUGCUCGAGUGCGAGAGAGGCGAGUGGAAUUGCGGGUGUAGCGGUGAAAUGCGUAGAUAUCCGCAGGAACAUCCGAGGCGAAAGCGGCUCGCUGGAUCGCAACUGACGCUGAGGGACGAAAGCUAGGGGAGCAAACAGGAUUAGACUACCCUGGUAGUCCUAGCCCUAAACCAUCAGGACUUGGGGUUUGCCCUGUACGGGGCAAGUCCCGGAGCUAACGCGUUAAGUCCUGCGCCUGGGGAGUACGGUCGCAAGGCUGAA
rnacentral:rRNA from 1 species